GACGAACGCUGGCGGCGUGCUUAACACAUGCAAGUCGAACGGAAAGGCCUCUUUCGGGGGGUACUCGAGUGGCGAACGGGUGAGUAACACGUGGGUAACCUGCCCUUGACUUUGGGAUAACCUCAGGAAACUGGGGCUAAUACCGGAUAGGUGCUCCUGCUGCAUGGUGGGGGUUGGAAAGUUUCGGCGGUUGGGGUUGGACUCGCGGCUUAUCAGCUUGUUGGUGGGGUAGUGGCUUACCAAGGCUUUGACGGGUAGCCGGCCUGAGAGGGUGACCGGCCACAUUGGGACUGAGAUACGGCCCAGACUCCUACGGGAGGCAACAGGGGGGAAUAUUGCACAAUGGGUGGAAGCCUGAUGCAGCAACGCCGUGUGCGGGAUGACGGGCUUCGGGUUGUAAACCGCUUUCGCUCAUGACGAAGCUUUGUGUGACGGUAGUGGGUAAAGAAGCACCGGCUAACUACGUG
rnacentral:rRNA from 1 species